rnacentral:rRNA from 1 species
GACGAACGCUGGCGGCGUGCUUAACACAUGCAAGUCGAACGAGAGCGUAGAGAAAGCUUGCUUUUUCUACAAUCUAGUGGCAAACGGGUGAGUAACGCGUAAACAACCUGCCCUACGGAUGGGGACAACAGCUGGAAACGGCUGCUAAUACCGAAUACGUUCCGAAAGUCGCAUGACUAUCGGAAGAAAGGAUGGCCUCUAUUUAUAAGCUAUCGCCGGAGGAGGGGUUUGCGUCUGAUUAGCUAGUUGGAGGGGUAACGGCCCACCAAGGCGACGAUCAGUAGCCGGUCUGAGAGGAUGAACGGCCACAUUGGAACUGAGACACGGUCCAGACUCCUACGGGAGGCAGCAGUGGGGAAUCUUCCGCAAUGGGCGAAAGCCUGGCGGAGCAACGCCGCGUGAGUGAAGACGGCCUUCGGGUUGUAAAGCUCUGUUAUACGGGACGAAUAAUCUUGUGGUUAAUACCCAUGAGAAGUGACGGUACCGGAAGAGAAAGCCACGGCUAACUACGUG